rnacentral:rRNA from 1 species
GAUAAACGCUGGCGGCGUGCUUAACACAUGCAAGUCGAACGAAGUUUUUCCUUCGGGCGAACCUUAGUGGCGGACGGGUGAGUAACGCGUGGGUAACCUGCCCUGUACAGGGGGACAACAGCUGGAAACGGCUGCUAAUACCGCAUAAGCCCUUAGCACUGCAUGGUGCAUAGGGAAAAGGAGCAAUCCGGUACAGGAUGGACCCGCGUCUGAUUAGCCAGUUGGCAGGGUAACGGCCUACCAAAGCGACGAUCAGUAGCCGAUCUGAGAGGAGGUACGGCCACAUUGGGACUGAGACACGGCCCAGACUCCUACGGGAGGCAGCAGUGGGGAAUAUUGCACAAUGGAGGAAACUCUGAUGCAGCGACGCCGCGUGAGUGAAGAAGUAUUUCGGUAUGUAAAGCUCUAUCAGCAGGGAAGAAAAUGACGGUACCUGACAAAGAAGCACCGGCUAAAUACGUG